UCUCCAGCAUCUAUUUGGAGCACCCCUAAACUUGUGGGUCUCCCAGGGAGGCAGAGCCCUCCUCCUACCCUAGAAACCAGACCUAACUUUCCCAGCCUCCCUUGCAGCUGCAGUGCAGGCAUAUGACCUGGCUCAGCCAAUCAGAUGCAACCACCCAGGAACUCUGAAUCUUAAGCCCAUGAGCAGAGAUGGGAUGUAUCUGACAGAACUGGCUGUAGCAGCAGGACGAGUUUUCUGGGGCAGUGGAGCCUCAGGGCCAGUUUCUCUGUUGUCUGCUCUGGUCUCACCCUGAGGUGUGAUUUGGGCUGGGUUCUGGCUGUGGCCUGGUGCUCCUUGGUUCCUGGGCCAGCCCGAGGAGUCUGUGAGUGUCCUGUUGCAACAAAGAAUCCUGACUGAUAAAUACAGAGAAGUCAGCAUUAUGGGAACAGAGAGGAGCUGGGGCCUGAAGUGUGGACCCAUCAGGAUGGUUUCAUCUCUCAUUCGAUGUGGCAGGAUAUCAUGGAAUAGUGGUUACAAGCGUGUGAACUCGGGAAUCGGACAGAUUUGAGUGGGCAUCGUAGCUUCUACUCUUACUAACUGUUACAUCAGCAAAGCCCUCUGAGCCUCAGUUUAUUCAUCUGUAAAAUGAGGACAAGCCUAGUAUCAACCUAAGAGCUUGGUUGUGAAGAAUGAAUUGAGGUAGAGACAAAAUGCCUAGACCCACAGUGAAUGCGAGUCAUUAUUACCCCUAAUAACAACUCCAGAGAGUUGAGGUGGGGCUCUCAGUGCAGGCUAGUGUCCCUGAGGCUCUGAGCCCUGCUCCUACUUCUGCCAGCCUGUCGGGCUAGUUCCACUUCAAGCCAGGGCGAAAUGAGAAAGCUCGGCAUGUUUCGGGCCUUUGGGGGAGACUGAGAACAGCUGAACCCGUGAAUGAUGCCUCUGCAGGUGCCAGGGACCCACGGCCCCACCCUCACCCAACGCCAGAGCGCUGCCUGCCAGACCCUUGUCAGCGGUUACAACCUCCAACUGCCUCCCGCUGCCCCAGUUUUAUCAAAAGCUCAGUUGAGAGAAAUAAAGUUCAUGGGGGUUAUUUAAA